GACGAACGCUGGCGGCGUGCCUAACACAUGCAAGUCGAGCGGGAGACUUCGGUCUCUAGCGGCGGACGGGUGAGUAACACGUGGGUAACCUGCCUUGUAGAGGGGGAUAGCCUUCCGAAAGGAAGAUUAAUACCGCAUAACAUUAUGCUAUCGCAUGAUAGAAUAAUCAAAGGAGCAAUCCGCUACAAGAUGGACCCGCGGCGCAUUAGCUAGUUGGUGAGGUAACGGCUCACCAAGGCAACGAUGCGUAGCCGGCCUGAGAGGGUGAACGGCCACAUUGGAACUGAGACACGGUCCAGACUCCUACGGGAGGCAGCAGUGGGGAAUAUUGCACAAUGGGCGAAAGCCUGAUGCAGCAACGCCGCGUGAGUGAUAAAGGCCUUCGGGUUGUAAAGCUCUGUCUUCUGGGACGAUAAUGACGGUACCAGAGGAGGAAGCCACGGCUAACUACGUGCCAGCAGCCGCGGUAAUACGUAGGUGGCAAGCGUUGUCCGGAUUUACUGGGCGUAAAGGAUGCGUAGGCGGAUACUUAAGUCAGAUGUGAAAUUCCCGGGCUUAACUUGGGAACUGCAUUUGAAACUGGGUAUCUAGAGUGUGGGAGAGGAAAGUGGAAUUCCUAGUGUAGCGGUGAAAUGCGUAGAGAUUAGGAAGAACACCAGUGGCGAAGGCGACUUUCUGGACCAUAACUGACGCUGAGGCAUGAAAGCGUGGGGAGCAAACAGGAUUAGAUACUCUGGUAGUCCACGCCGUAAACGAUGAAUACUAGGUGUGGGGGUUAUCAUGACCUCCGUGCCGCAGUUAACACAAUAAGUAUUCCGCCUGGGGAGUACGGUCGCAAGAUUAAAACUCAAAGGAAUUGACGGGGGCCCGCACAAGCAGCGGAGCAUGUGGUUUAAUUCGAAGCAACGCGAAGAACCUUACCUAGACUUGACAUCUCCUGAAUUACCGGUAAUGCGGGAAGCCCUUCGGGGC
rnacentral:rRNA from 1 species